rnacentral:rRNA from 1 species
GACCCCAUGGAGCUUUAAACCCGACAGCACCCACUUAUUUAACACCUUCUUAUCCGCCUGGCCCCUGUCUGCUCGGUUUUGGGUUGGGGUGACCGCGGAGCAUAAAAUAGCCUCCACGAAAGAAGGGAUGAUUCCCUCAUUUUAGAACUACACUUCCAAAGACUAACAAAUUAAUUUUAAGUGAUCCGAUACCCGUAUUCGAUCAACGAACCAAGUUACCCUGGGGAUAACAGCGCAAUCUACCUCAAGAGCCCCUAUCGACAGGUGGGUUUACGACCUCGAUGUUGGAUCAGGGUAUCCC